rnacentral:lncRNA from 1 species
CGACCAGCUUUGCCAAAGGGGCACUCGCUCCGAACACCGAGGUGGACGGAGGACGAGACUAUCCCCGGCCGGCGUCCACCCGCGCUUGACCCACCCUCCCUGAGCCCCGCAGAAAGACACGUUUGCAGCGAAAGGCUCUUACACACCAACCGGGUUUUUAUUCGUCCCUUACCCGGCGUGCGCUCUGGGAGCGCGGGAAACAAGGAAAACGCACAUACCUGGCGGCGCUCCGAGGGCGGCCUCGCGGGCCCGCCGCUGGCGAGGGGGCCCCCAGAAGCCACUCCCCGCCCGGCUGGUCGCCCCACGGCCCGUCCCUCCCUCCCCGGCGACGCACCCCGCGGAGCCAACUCUCCAGGAAGCGCGAGGAGCUUCCUGUCUGGGCGCUGCGUCCAUCUUCCAGCGCCAGGGCCCGCACCUCCUCCCCGUGCGCGGGCGCGCAGAGUCCCCGCGGCCGGUAGACCCAGAAGGGGACUCUGAAGCCGCGGAGCCGAGCGUCCCGCUGCUGGACUGCGGCUCCAGCUGCAGGUCCGGGCCCGGGGCGUCUUUCUCCGCCUGGGCUCCCGCCUUCCCACGUUUCCAGCCAAACUGCGGAGACCGACGCUGAGCCCUCGGGGAAGACCAGGCGGCGGCGGCGGCGGGAGCGUCCCCCGCGUUUUCUCCCCGCUCUGACUCUGUCCUCCGCUGUCCGGAAACGCGCCCCGGAAGGCGGGGUUGGGGAAGACCCCCGCGUGGCGGCUGCGCAGCAGGACGGCAGCAGGACCCCGGAGGCCCAGAAGGGGUUGGUUAAGAACAGCUCUGAUCCGCGCCCCGCGCCUUGCGCAUUUCCCCGAGGACUUGCAGAGAAGCGAAGCACUCCCGGGAGGGAAGGAGGGUGCCCUGAGAGCGAGGACGGGACAGCGCCCCGGAGUCCCGGAGGGAGGAAACACAAAGCAGAUUGGCUUGCUUCUAGAUGACGACUUCUGUGGACUCUAGUCCUACACUUUUCUUCAAAGUAGCAGACACAAUCUUAAUUCCAUGAGGAGGAGGAGCCACAACAGGGGCAUGGGCUUUGGUGGUCCCCAGUGUCAGGAAGGGUGGCUUCCAAUUUUCCUUGGUUUCCAAACCUCGCCUCAAAAUGAAAUCACAAAUAAACCAAAAUAAAACUCAAGUAAAGCAUCUGUGGAUGGUUCGGUUUGAAAGCAGUGGACAGAGAGAUCAGGAAGGGCCCACCUGUAGGAUCCAGUUCGUCCAUCUAGGGUUGAGUUGAACCCAGGAGGUAAGUAAGGUGCUGCAUGGCAGAGGGACCUGCCAGGUUUGGCCUAAGGAGGGUCAGGCCCCCACGUCACUGGAGCUGCUGUCGCCAAAUUCACCGUCCAACACCUCAUUACUAAAGCCACUAGACAAUGACCUCUGAGGCUCCACCUCGGGGUUCCUCACUCCUGGGAUCAGGGGAGUGCUGAGCGAGCCAUGCAGCAGCCAGGGACAAGCAGCCCCUCCCAGUAGCCUGCCCUGGUCCGGGCCAGGUUGCAGCCCACAGACCCCAUCAACGUGGCCUUGGAAAUGCUGCUCCUGGGGAUUAAGCAUUCAAGGCUUGAGAACUCCUGCCCUCAGUGCCUGGAAAUGACAGAAAAAAAUUAAAAUUCGUUAGAACCAGGAGAACAAGAAGGGCACCCUUAAACCGGAAAUCCUGAGGAAUCCUGGGGAGAUGUGGAGGCCAUUGCUCUGGCUGGAGGGAAGAAACCACAGCCAAAGGCACUGAGGCAGAAACCGCGGGCAGGUGACGGGGGCUCAGAGGCAGCAGCUGAGGGGGCCUGGGGCAACUUUCAGGGUGAUGCACAGGGUGUCUGUGGAGCUCGGCCCCACCCCUCGCUAUCCUAAGCAGCAGGCAGUGGACAAAGAAGUUCCCAUUGGUGAACAACACCUGGAAGGAGCAGAGAGUCUCAUGUCCCUGGACUUGCUGGGCCCUCCACACGGUCGCUUGAGGCCACUGACCGCUUGCUGAUGGACAAACGGGGAACUUCACAUACAAAGAGGAGCACAGAUGCCGGCCCCACGGGAAGCACCAAACACCGCAAAUGGACCGACUCAUGAGCUGGCUGAGGCUGUAGCGGGCCAUCUGGGUCAGGCUCUCCUUCCUCCGUGCAUGGGCUAGACUCCAUUUCCCCAAUUCCCUAACAAGGAGGUGUGGCCAUGUGACCAGCUCCUCUGCAGUGGAGUUGAGCAGACAUGACAGGUGCCACUCCUGUGCCUGGCAGCACCUCCCUCCACACUCCUCCCCCUUCCCGUGGGCCCGAAUGGCUAUGACACCAGUGAGUCAGGAAGCUUCACUACCAGGAUUUCAAAUCCCCGUCAGCCGGGGGCCCUGAACCACUGCAGGAGUCGAGGCCACUGUUGACUUGGAAGCCUUGCCACAGGUUCUCAAGAGAGACUUUAAGAAUUCUUUGUGGGGCAGGCCCCGUGGCCGAGUGGUUAAGUUCGCACCUUCUGCUUCGGCGGCGCAGAGUUCUCCGGUUCGGAUCCCGGAUGCAGACCGACACACCACUCAUCAAGACAUGCCCAGGCGGCGUCCCACAUAGAAGAGCUAGAAAUGACCUACAACUAGGAUAUACAACUGUGUACUGAGCUUUGGGGAGAAAAAAAAAAAAAAGAGGAAGAUUGGCAACAGAUUUUAGCUCAGGGCCGAUCUUCCUCACCACGAACUCCGCAUGUUUUCGACACGAGUCCUGGGCUGGGUUUGCGGCUGCGGGUCUCUUCUCCCGGCUCCAGCUUGUCUCUUCAUCCUCUGGACAGGGUGUUUUGUUGGUUUUUUUUUUUUUUUUUUGCACUUUUUACUUUUGCAUAAUUUCCAACUGACAGGAAAGUUGUUAGAGUAGCACAAAGAGCUCCUGUAUACUGCUCACCCAGAUUCCCCGAGUAUUACCAUUUUAUCACAUUUUCUUAUUCUAUUUUUUUUUAAGUUUUUGAAUCAUUUGAGAGAAAGUUGCAGGCGAUGCCCAUUGUCCCUCAACACUUGAGUGUGUAUUUCCUAAAACAAGGACAAGCUCCUAUGUAACAGGGCAUAAUGGUCAGAAUCAGGAUGCUGAUAUGGACGUGACACUGCCCUCCGCCUGUGGACCCCGGCAGAAUUCCGCGGAUUGGCCCUAUAACGUCUUAGACAAGCGCAGACUCCAACCCCGGAGGCCACGCUGGGUUGCUGUCAUCUUUCCUGAGUCUCCUUUCAUGUGGAAGUCAGGUUUUUCUCUGUGGCUCCGUCCCUUAGGCUUGAGAAAGCUUGGGUUCCACACUUGGGUCUGACAGUCAAGGUCAGCGCCUUGGAAUCCAGGGAGGAAGCAGGGCGAGCAAACUGUGUCUAGCAGAUGGGUAAACUGAGACCAGAAAUUGUGGGGCUCGCUCAAGAUCGCACAACCAGCCAACAGUAGGGUUUCGGGGCUCACUGGCCCCUUCCCUAAGACCACGUAGACUCUGAGGUGGGACUCUGGAUGUCGCUGCUAACUGAUAAGGCAACCCAGAAGGUCAGGGG